rfam:Candidate division WS6 bacterium GW2011_GWA2_37_6 TS52_C0067, whole genome shotgun sequence.
CGGGGUGUAGUUCAAUUGGCUAGAAUGUACGCUUCGGGUGCGUAAGGUUCCCGGUUCAAGUCCGGGCACCCCGA